UCAAUGUGAUGAACACAGAAAUCUGUCAAUCCACUGAAAAUUAUUGAUGCUAUUUUAUAUCUCAACAGGUUCUGAUUGA